CCUACGGGCGGCAGCAGUGGGGGAUAUUGCACAAUGGGGGGAACCCUGAUGCAGCGACGCCGCGUGGGUGAAGGAGCGUUUCGGCGCGUAAAGCCCUAUCGGCAGGGAAGAUGGAGGACGGUACCUGACUAAGAAGCCCCGGCUAACUACGUGCCAGCAGCCGCGGGAAUACGGAGGGGGCAAGCGUUAUCCGGAUUUACUGGGGGUACAGGGGGCGCAGACGGCAGCGCAAGCCAGGAGUGAAAGCCCGGGGCCCAACCCCGGAACUGCUCUUGGAACUGCGCGGCUGGAGUGCAGGAGGGGCAGGCGGAAUGCCUGGUGUAGGGGUGAAAUGCGUAGAUAUCAGGAGGAACACCGGUGGCGAAGGCGGCCUGCUGGACUGCGACUGACGUUGAGGCCCGAAAGCGUGGGGAGCAAACAGGAUUAGAUACCCCUGUAGUC
rnacentral:rRNA from 1 species